rnacentral:rRNA from 1 species
ACGAACGCUGGCGGCGUGCUUAACACCUGCCAGUCGCACGGAAAGGCCCUGCUUUUGUGGGGUGCUCGCGUGGCGAACGGGUGAGUAACACGUGAGUAACCUGCCCUUGACUUUGGGAUAACUUCAGGAAACUGGGGCUAAUACCGGAUAGGAGCUCCUGCUGCAUGGUGGGGGUUGGAAAGUUUCGGCGGUUGGGGAUGGACUCGCGGCUUAUCAGCUUGUUGGUGGGGUAGUGGCUUACCAAGGCUUUGACGGGUAGCCGGCCUGAGAGGGUGACCGGCCACAUUGGGACUGAGAUACGGCCCAGACUCCUACGGGAGGCAGCAGUGGGGAAUAUUGCACAAUGGGCGGAAGCCUGAUGCAGCAACGCCGCGUGCGGGAUGACGGCCUUCGGGUUGUAAACCGCUUUCGCCUGUGACGAAGCGUGAGUGACGGUAAUGGGUAAAGAAGCACCGGCUAACUACGUG